rnacentral:lncRNA from 1 species
GGGCCUGGUGGGGUCUUAUGGGGUUCUGGUGGGGUCUGGUGGGAUCUUAUGGGAUCAUAUGGGAUCUUGUGGGGCCUGGUGGGGUCUGAUGGGAUCUUAUGGGGUUCUGGUGGGGUCUUAUGGGGUUCUAUGGGGUUCUGGUGGGGUCUGGUGGGGUCUUAUGGGAUCUUGUGGGGCCUGGUGGGGUCUGAUGGGGUUCUGGUGGGGCCUGGUGGGGUCUUAUGGGGUCUGAUGGGAUCUUAUGGGGUUCUGGUGGGGUCUGAUGGGGUUCUGGUGGGGUCUGGUGGGAUCUUAUGGGGUUCUGGUGGGGUCUUAUGGGGUUCUGGUGGGGUCUUAUGGGAUCUUAUGGGAUCUGGUGGGGUUCUAGUGGGGUCUUAUGGAGUUCUGGUGGGGUCUGAUGGGGUUUUAUGGGAUUGACCCCAUAGAACGACACUGAGUUCCCAUUGCCAUAAGUCGACCCCAAAGACUCUUUUUUGGGUCCCAUUGCCACGAAUCGACCCCAAAGUCCCCUUUUGGGGUCCCAUUGCCUUAAGUUGACCCCAAAGUCCCCUUUUGGGGUCCCAUGACCACGAAUCGACCCCAAAGUCCCCUUUUGGGGUCCCAUUGCCAUGAAUCGACCCCAAAGUCCCCUUUUGGGGUCCCAUGACCACGAACUGACCCCAAAGUCCCCUUUUGGGGUCCCACGGCC